CAGUCGCCGCGGUAAUACGAAGGGUGCAAGCGUUAAUCCGAAUUACUGGGCGUAAAGCGUGCGUAGGCGGUUUGUUAAGUCUGCUGUGAAAUCCCCGGGCUCAACCUGGGAAUGGCAGUGGAUACUGGCAAGCUAGAGUGUGUCAGAGGAUGGUGGAAUUCCCGGUGUAGCGGCGAAAUGCGUAGAGAUCGGGAGGAACAUCAGUGGCGAAGGCGGCCAUCUGGGACAACACUGACGCUGAGGCACGAAAGCGUGGGGAGCAAACAGGAUUAGAUACCCCAGUAGUCCCUGUCUCUUAUAC
rnacentral:rRNA from 1 species